rnacentral:rRNA from 1 species
AUACGGAGGGUGCAAACGUUGUUCGGAAUUACUGGGCGUAAAGCGCGCGUAGGCGGUUUGUUAAGUCAGAUGUGAAAGCCCAAGGCUCAACCUUGGACGUGCAUUUGAAACUGGCAGACUUGAGUACUGGAGGGGAUGGUGGAAUUCCCGGUGUAGAGGUGAAAUUCGUAGAUAUCGGGAGGAAUACCGGUGGCGAAGGCGACCAUCUGGCCAGAUACUGACGCUGAGGUGCGAAAGCAUGGGGAGCAAACAGGAUUAGAAACCCCAGUAGUCC